rnacentral:rRNA from 1 species
GACGGGGGGGGCAAGUGUUCUUCGGAAUUACUGGGCGUAAAGGGUACGUAGGCGGUGAAUCGGGUUGAGUGUGAAAGUCGCCAAAAAGUGGCGGAAUGCUCUCGAAACCAAUUCACUUGAGUGAGACAGAGGAGAGUGGAAUUUCGUGUGUAGGGGUGAAAUCCGUAAAUAUACGAAGGAACGCCAAAAGCGAAGGCAGCUCUCUGGGUCACUACCGACGCUGGGGUGCGAAAGCAUGGGGAGCGAACAGG